rnacentral:rRNA from 1 species
UACGUAGGGGGGCUAGCGUUGUCCGGAAUCAUUGGGCGUAAAGAGCGUGUAGGCGGCCCGGUAAGUCCGCUGUGAAAGUCGGGGGCUCAACCCUCGAAUGCCGGUGGAUACUGUCGGGCUAGAGUGCGGAAGAGGCGAGUGGAAUUCCGUGGUGUAGCGGUGAAAUGCGCAGAUAUCAGGAGGAACACCGAUGGCGAAGGCAGGUCUCUGGGCCGAUACUGACGCUGAGGAGCGAAAGCGUGGGGAGCGAACAGG